GAUAACUGCAGUGUAAUUGAGCUACUUCGUCAUACUAACUGGAAAAAUGAUGUAUAUGUAUUGCAGGACACCUUCAGGUUGCUGUGUGCGCAUCCAAAGCCGUCGUGCAGCCACAACAGGGACCAGAGCUCACCCCGCCGGUGGGGUCAUGCGACGAGCCGGGGCGAAGAACACCUUCAUCGACAUGAUGGCAUCCCCCAAUCAAUCUAGUACAUCGGGUGCUCUGAGCAAACUCCUCCUACAUUUCUGCUUCGUCUCCAAGGGUGCAGGUUGUGGGAUAGCGGCCCGUGUGCAACUACCAUAAGAGCACACUGACAGUGAGCAUCUCCAAGAGCAAGGGUGGAGAGGACGCUGCAGCUCAAGGGGGGCCUCACUAGGUGAAGUGAAGCUCGGCCACUGUUUCUUCCUCUAGUGAAGCUUGGCCACCGUUUCCCCAAAUCCACAAGACUGCUCCACCCCGGCCGAGCCAGCUGCAAGGGAUGGCCGGAGGGCUGCUGCGAGAGCUGACUGGAGACGGCGCAGCUUCACCGCCACACGUAUCUCGCUGCUAGCAGCAGGGAGACGGCGAAGUACACAAGCAGCAGAGCAACGACGAGAUCUACGAGCCUGACGACAACGGCAAGCUGGAGCCUCCUCCCAACGAGCUCGAGAAGGAAUACGACGCCGGCGAUGUCCCGGAGCAGCACGGCCGACCUGGACGAGGAGGAGGGUAGCAACCAGACGAGGGGCAUGCCUGGGCCGCCGUGCUAUCUUACGGCUGCACGAGGCCUCUGACGGCAGGGUCGCGAUAGCUGGACCUCGGCGCCCUCCUGCCUGGCCAAGCCCCAGUAGCAAAACCAAAGGUCAAUUACUUCUUGUUACCUAGAACUAAUUUAUUCCUUUCUUCAUCAUUAGUUCAUACCGUACUGCUGCUAUUUCUCGAUGUCACAGGCGUGAAAGCAUAGCAAGAGAGAGCUGAGCAUGUCAUUGGAAUAUUUAAAAGUGAUAAGUACUCAACAGAUCAUUGUUGCAAUUAAAUGUAACUAAACUGAUUGUUCUGUCUUC